UCACUUCACGUGACAGCUUUGUUUUAUAUCAAGACUUAACAAUGGUACGAAAGAAGUGUGUUUUUUGGAUACAACGGAUAUAGUUUGUUUUUCCGGGGUAGCAGCGGAGUUUUACUUGUGUGUUUGUUUAACGCUGGAUUUCAUUAAAUAGUCUCAACCGGGUCAUGAGUUGCAAACGGUCCAUCAGCCACUACAGAUCAUUUCAGGAGCGUCAGACUGAGAAGGCCAACCAUGACCGCUUGAAGAUGAACUACAAGACCCUCUUCCCGGGAGUUCAUCUCUAUGUGAACAAUCUGCCCUACAGCUGGACAGAUCAGGAGCUUCAAAGAGUCUUCUCCACGUUUGGGACCAUCACCAAUGCUAAGGGAUGAUGCUUAUUUUUAAAGAUUAAUAGGAGACAUUUAACAGUUCCUAUAAGUUAUACUGUAAUUGACAUUUAAAAAAAUACGCCACAUGUAUUGGAUGUUUCUGUUCUCAGGUGGUAAGGAAUGGCAGCCGCAGCCUAGGGUUCGGUUUUGUGUGUUUCACGAGCCCUGAAGCUGCAGCUCAAGCCAUUUCAGCAAUGAACGGUCGUGUCAUUGUCAACAGAUGGCUGAACGCCACCUUCUCGCAGGUCAUGGACCAGGAUACCAUGGUGUCUGUCAGCAACUGCGACUCUUCUCCUGCAGUCCAGCGCACAAAGCCAACGCUGCUUCCUUCUGGACACUUUGGUGCUGCUGUUCAGAGGUGUUCAGAAGUGAACAUUUUUAUAUCUGGUGUUGCUCUACCUGAAUGCAAUAUUGAAAAAUUACUUUUUUAUGAUGGUGAGUAGGUCAUUUGAAAUGUCUAAUUUUAUGACAUGGUACUGGGGUGAAAAGUUUAAACUCCACUGCACUACACCUUUUUAAACCUGUAGUAAACCUCACUACAUUUAAGUUUUAGCUGGUUGAGGCAGCCAAAUAUGGACCAGAUUCCGGUCGGAGAAUUAGAAGAAGAAAAGUCUUUGAACUAGGCUGUCAAAGAAUCUGCAUAUGCACUGAUAUGACAUGAAAUACAAUGUAAUGGUCUACAAAGAAACAAGAGAAAAAAUUACAAAUAAUCACCAUUCUAAGACUUACAUUAACAUUACCUGACAGAAUAAGAAUUCUAUAAGAAGAAUAGCAUAGCACCACUGGUAUUACAGUAAAUAUACAUAUAAAACAAAUAUAUCUAACAGAAAUGUCAUGUAUGUAAAAUGGCAAUAUGGUCAACAAUAAAAUAAUAAGGGCAGACUCAUAAGCACCCAUCAAGACGUGCUUUUCACAGAAUCUCUCUGUUUACAGGACACACACAAAAUUAUGCAAUACAGGCAAGUUUUGGCAAGUAUUCUUAUACAAACAGUUAUGUCUUAAAGUGAACGCCAACAGUUUCAGAAAGAAGUCGGAUAUGUAUAUAUGGAUCCAUGCUUAUCCAGUCUUAAAGUGGCAGAACCCUCAAAAAAUCUGCUUAUGUUUGUGUCUUUAUGUUAAGCAAACAACAGAAGGCAAAGGGAAAUUACUUCUGUAGCUUUAAAAACGAUUAAAAUAUUUUUAAAUAUUUUGAUAAUAAAAUUUAUAGAAUGAAGAAAAGAGUGUUAUUAUUUAUUUGAUUUUAUUUCCAUUAGCGCCUCACUGCAGAACAUGACAUCCUGGGGGCGGGGUUCCAGAGAUCUCUUCUCACUGCAUUUUGAUUGGUCGGCAGUUUUACCACAAGACACGUCAUACAUGAGUUGUUGCGUUACCAUUUCUGCAUUAAGUCGUAACUAAAUUAAGUUAUUGUUUUGAAAAAAAAAAACUUUAUUAUGACUACAAUAAAAGUGGUGCCUUUAAGAUGAAAUGUUAGUUUUUUGCUAUAAUGUUUUGGAGUAAAACAUUUCGGGUAAGCGUACUAUGAGUAGGUUAAUCUUACCACAUGCAGCUUAAGACCUAUGAAUGGAUACAGUAUAAAUAUGCAUAAUUAUAAACUUAUAUAUGGCAUGUUAUUUAGAAAUUAAUAAAUUGAAUGUUUAUCUUG